rnacentral:rRNA from 2 species
UUAAGCGACUAAGCGUACACGGUGGAUGCCCUGGCAGUCAGAGGCGAUGAAGGACGUGCUAAUCUGCGAAAAGCGUCGGUAAGGUGAUAUGAACCGUUAUAACCGGCGAUGUCCGAAUGGGGAAACCCAGUGCAAUUCGUUGCACUAUCGUUAACUGAAUACAUAGGUUAACGAGGCGAACCGGGGGAACUGAAACAUCUAAGUACCCCGAGGAAAAGAAAUCAACCGAGAUUCCCCCAGUAGCGGCGAGCGAACGGGGAGCAGCCCAGAGUCUGAAUCAGCUUGUGUGUUAGUGGAACGGUCUGGAAAGUCCGACGGUACAGGGUGAUAGUCCCGUACACCAAAAUGCACAGGCUGUGAACUCGAAGAGUAGGGCGGGACACGUGGUAUCCUGUCUGAAUAUGGGGGGACCAUCCUCCAAGGCUAAAUACUCCUGACUGACCGAUAGUGAACCAGUACCGUGAGGGAAAGGCGAAAAGAACCCCGGCGAGGGGAGUGAAAAAGAACCUGAAACCGUGUACGUACAAGCAGUGGGAGCACCUUCGGGUGUGACUGCGUACCUUUUGUAUAAUGGGUCAGCGACUUAUAUUCUGUAGCAAGGUUAACCGUAUAGGGGAGCCGCAGGGAAACCGAGUCUUAACUGGGCGUUAAGUUGCAGGGUAUAGACCCGAAACCCGGUGAUCUAGCCAUGGGCAGGUUGAAGGUUGGGUAACACUAACUGGAGGACCGAACCGACUAAUGUUGAAAAAUUAGCGGAUGACUUGUGGCUGGGGGUGAAAGGCCAAUCAAACCGGGAGAUAGCUGGUUCUCCCCGAAAGCUAUUUAGGUAGCGCCUCGUGAAUUCAUCUUCGGGGGUAGAGCACUGUUUCGGCUAGGGGGUCAUCCCGACUUACCAACCCGAUGCAAACUACGAAUACCGAAGAAUGUUAUCACGGGAGACACACGGCGGGUGCUAACGUCCGUCGUGAAGAGGGAAACAACCCAGACCGCCAGCUAAGGUCCCAAAGUCAUGGUUAAGUGGGAAACGAUGUGGGAAGGCACAGACAGCCAGGAUGUUGGCUUAGAAGCAGCCAUCAUUUAAAGAAAGCGUAAUAGCUCACUGGUCGAGUCGGCCUGCGCGGAAGAUGUAACGGGGCUAAACCAUGCACCGAAGCUGCGGCAGCGACACUAUGUGUUGUUGGGUAGGGGAGCGUUCUGUAAGCCUGCGAAGGUGUGCUGUGAGGCAUGCUGGAGGUAUCAGAAGUGCGAAUGCUGACAUAAGUAACGAUAAAGCGGGUGAAAAGCCCGCUCGCCGGAAGACCAAGGGUUCCUGUCCAACGUUAAUCGGGGCAGGGUGAGUCGACCCCUAAGGCGAGGCCGAAAGGCGUAGUCGAUGGGAAACAGGUUAAUAUUCCUGUACUUGGUGUUACUGCGAAGGGGGGACGGAGAAGGCUAUGUUAGCCGGGCGACGGUUGUCCCGGUUUAAGCAUGUAGGCUGGUUAUCCAGGCAAAUCCGGAUAAUCAAGGCUGAGGUGUGAUGACGAGGCACUACGGUGCUGAAGUAACAAAUGCCCUGCUUCCAGGAAAAGCCUCUAAGCAUCAGGUAACAUCAAAUCGUACCCCAAACCGACACAGGUGGUCAGGUAGAGAAUACCAAGGCGCUUGAGAGAACUCGGGUGAAGGAACUAGGCAAAAUGGUGCCGUAACUUCGGGAGAAGGCACGCUGGUGUGUAGGUGAAGCCCCUGCGGGUGGAGCUGAGACCAGUCGAAGAUACCAGCUGGCUGCAACUGUUUAUUAAAAACACAGCACUGUGCAAACACGAAAGUGGACGUAUACGGUGUGACGCCUGCCCGGUGCCGGAAGGUUAAUUGAUGGGGUUAUCCGUAAGGAGAAGCUCUUGAUCGAAGCCCCGGUAAACGGCGGCCGUAACUAUAACGGUCCUAAGGUAGCGAAAUUCCUUGUCGGGUAAGUUCCGACCUGCACGAAUGGCGUAAUGAUGGCCAGGCUGUCUCCACCCGAGACUCAGUGAAAUUGAACUCGCUGUGAAGAUGCAGUGUACCCGCGGCAAGACGGAAAGACCCCGUGAACCUUUACUAUAGCUUGACACUGAACAUUGAGCCUUGAUGUGUAGGAUAGGUGGGAGGCUUUGAAGCGUGGACGCCAGUCUGCGUGGAGCCAACCUUGAAAUACCACCCUUUAAUGUUUGAUGUUCUAACGUUGGCCCCUUACCGGGGUUGCGGACAGUGUCUGGUGGGUAGUUUGACUGGGGCGGUCUCCUCCCAAAGCGUAACGGAGGAGCACGAAGGUUAGCUAAUCCUGGUCGGACAUCAGGAGGUUAGUGCAAUGGCAUAAGCUAGCUUGACUGCGAGCGUGACGGCGCGAGCAGGUGCGAAAGCAGGUCAUAGUGAUCCGGUGGUUCUGAAUGGAAGGGCCAUCGCUCAACGGAUAAAAGGUACUCCGGGGAUAACAGGCUGAUACCGCCCAAGAGUUCAUAUCGACGGCGGUGUUUGGCACCUCGAUGUCGGCUCAUCACAUCCUGGGGCUGAAGUAGGUCCCAAGGGUAUGGCUGUUCGCCAUUUAAAGUGGUACGCGAGCUGGGUUUAGAACGUCGUGAGACAGUUCGGUCCCUAUCUGCCGUGGGCGCUGGAGAAUUGAGGGGGGCUGCUCCUAGUACGAGAGGACCGGAGUGGACGCAUCACUGGUGUUCGGGUUGUCAUGCCAAUGGCACUGCCCGGUAGCUAAAUGCGGAAGAGAUAAGUGCUGAAAGCAUCUAAGCACGAAACUUGCCCCGAGAUGAGUUCUCCCUGAGACUUUAAGUCUCCUGAAGGAACGUUGAAGACGACGACGUUGAUAGGCCGGGUGUGUAAGCGCAGCGAUGCGUUGAGCUAACCGGUACUAAUGAACCGUGAGGCUUAACCUU